rnacentral:ncRNA from 2 species
CGCUUCACCGUGGGGGGCUCCGGCAUGGGGCUGAGAUUCUGCUGGUGUGACCCUUAAAAGUCAUGCGGUGCAGUGACCCAUUGAACCUGAUCCAGUUCAUACUGGCGGAGGGAUGGUGGUCGCUGUCUGC